rnacentral:misc_RNA from 1 species
CGCACCUUGCACCCUUUGGUAUUCCGAAGGGUAUGCUCGUUUGAGUGUCAUUGUAACCUCACACCCAAGACUUCUUGUCGAGGGAGGUGGAUUUGGAUGCUGCUGUGUUAACUACGGCUCAUCUUAAAAGUAUUAGUGCGGCUCGUUGACUUGCGCUAUAAAGCCUAAUGUAAUAAGUUUUUCAUUGGGCAAGCAAGACUCUGUGGCUUUUGUGCUCUCUAACCGUCCCUUGUGGACAAAUACUCUGACAAUUUGACCUCAAAUCGAGUAGGACUACCCGCUGAACUUAA